AUCCAGCUGAUUAAUGUCAAAUAGGAUGAAACGCGCGUCCUAGAU
rnacentral:hammerhead_ribozyme from 1 species